UACAGAGGUCUCAAGCGUUGUUCGGAAUCAUUGGGCGUAAAGGGUGCGUAGGCGGCGCGGUAAGUCGGGUGUGAAAUCUCGGAGCUUAACUCCGAAACUGCAUUCGAUACUGCCGUGCUUGAGGACUGGAGAGGAGACUGGAAUUUACGGUGUAGCGGUGAAAUGCGUAGAUAUCGUAAGGAACACCAGUGGCGAAGGCGGCUCACUGGCCCGGUACUGACGCUGAGGCACGAAAGCGUGGGGAGCAAACAGG
rnacentral:rRNA from 1 species